rfam:Schistosoma curassoni strain Dakar, Senegal genome assembly, scaffold: SCTD_contig0002499
AUUCAGCUGAGGAGUCCUAAAUAGAACGAAACAAAAGUAUUAACAGUUUUUGAAU